rnacentral:rRNA from 1 species
CCCUUAGAUGUUCUGGACCGCACGCGCGCUACACUGAUGAAUUCAACGAGCUCCUAACCUAGGCCGAAGGGUCCGGGUAAUCUUUGAAAUUUCAUCGUGAUGGGGAUAGAUUAUUGCAAUUAUUAAUCUUCAACGAGGAAUUCCUAGUAAGCGCGAGUCAUCAGCUCGCGUUGAUUACGUCCCUGCCCUUUGUACACACCGCCCGUCGCUCCUACCGAUUGAAUGGUCCGGUGAAAUGUUCGGACCGCGACAAGGCGGACGGUUCGCUGUCAGCUUUGCUGCGGGAAGUUCAUUAAACCUUAUCAUUUAGAGGAAGGAGAAGUCGUAACA